rnacentral:rRNA from 1 species
UACGGAGAGGGCUAGCGUUAUUCGGAAUCAUUGGGCGUAAAGGGCGCGUAGGCGGGUUAGUAAGUUAAAAAGUGAAAUCCCAAGGCUCAACCUUGGAACUGCUUUUAAAACUGCUAGUCUAGAGAUUGAAAGAGGAUAGAGGAAUUCCUAGUGUAGAGGUGAAAUUCGUAAAUAUUAGGAGGAACACCAGUGGCGAAGGCGUCUAUCUGGUUCAAAUCUGACGCUGAGGCGCAAAAGGCGUGGGGGAGCAAACAGG